GAUGAACGCUGGCGGCGUGCUUAACACAUGCAAGUCGAACGGAAAGGCUCCUGCCUGCAGGGGUACUCGAGUGGCGAACGGGUGAGUAACACGUGGGUGAUCUGCCCUGUACUUCGGGAUAAGCUUGGGAAACUGGGUCUAAUACCGGAUAUGACAAUCUCUUGGAUGGGGUUGUGGAAAGCUUUUGCGGUAUGGGAUGAGCUCGCGGCCUAUCAGCUUGUUGGUGGGGUAAUGGCCUACCAAGGCGUCGACGGGUAGCCGGCCUGAGAGGGUGUACGGCCACAUUGGGACUGAGAUACGGCCCAGACUCCUACGGGAGGCAGCAGUGGGGAAUAUUGCACAAUGGGUGCAAGCCUGAUGCAGCGACGCCGCGUGGGGGAUGACGGCCUUCGGGUUGUAAACUCCUUUCGCAACCGACGAAGCUUUUGUGACGGUAGGUUGAGAAGAAGCACCGGCUAACUACGUG
rnacentral:rRNA from 1 species